CGAUGCGGUGGUUGCUGCGGUCUUCAAGGCCGUCGACGACGAGCUGGGC
rnacentral:tRNA from 14 species